UAAAAUAUAAGAUAUGCAAGAACAACUCUAAGCGUCGUUGUCUAACUCACCAAAAGUAGUUUCCAACUGACGAUGACCAAUUGCCUUGAAAAUCGAAGAAUGAACGGACGAUGGACGACGGACGACAAACAAUAAACGAUGGAUGAACGGUGACAGAUGAGUGGUUCAAUUUGAGCGACGAACAAAUGCUUCUAGUUGGUUUGACACAGAUGCAGAUGAUUUGGGCGAAGAUUUGAGCAAUGCGGACACACCAAAACAUUGUGAACGAAGAUGUGAGUGAUGCAGAAUGUACCCAAAACGACGCGCAGACGAAUGGUCAAACGAUUUGACGAUGGCGACUCGUGGAUGAAUGGACGAUUGAAGGAUGAUGAAGAAUGGAUGAACGAUGAUCGGAUGUUGAAGGACACAAUCAAUAUGUUAGAAUGAAGAAUGGAUGAAUGGCCGAACGAUUUGAGCAUUGUUGUGUGAUAGGGUUAGAACGAAGAAAGGGUAGAAGAUGAAAGUAGAUUCUGAAAUGGGGGUUUCAAUUUAGGGAUUCAAAGCAGAACUCCUGAUGAGAUAUCAUACCAUUGAGAGUUGUGUAAGAACUCUCGAUGAAUUAUUUAAUUCAUCGGAAGUUUGGAUCGUCUAGAUUGUCUUUCGUCCCCAACGCCCGACGGGCAUGGUGAGGCAUUGGGAGUUUUGUCGAACUCCCGACAGGCCUGUUAUGUCUUAUAUUGAAGUUUAUAGUAAAGGCCCAAAAGAAAGAAUGAAAUGUUAAUAUUUGGCCUAAGAACAUUCAAUGAUAGGUGCCACUUGUGAUGCCAAACUUGCCAAGUAGCUAUGAAAGAAAAACCAUAUGGAAAAACACUUUUCUUAUAAAAUUUUGUUGUUCAUUUCCGAUUUAACCUCUCACUCUAGAACUUAGUUUUCUCUCUAGAUGUUCUUCAUGUUUUUUAGUGAUUUGAAGAAGACGGUUGAUUCUAAGCAUGCAAAUCAGUAAGAAUGUAGAGAAGGGGAAGAAGGAAACAAAGAUUAUAGUGGUUCAGUCAUUGUGACCUACAACCACAUCAACAAGGCAACCUUUUUACCUUGGGAGAUUGUAGCUUGUGCGAUCAAGUUGCAAACAAUAUUAAAGUGUAGGUGAUGUACCGAAAGCCAGUAUUGACCCCAAGAUAGAAGGGCAAUCAGAGCAACCUGUGCCCAACAAUUACUGGAAGUUCCAAUGGUCAGGGCUAGCUUCUUGACCUAAGCAAUUGAGAGUAAUCUUCUGCAUGUAAGACUCCUUGUGGUGACAUCACUCCAAUUUCUCCAGGGAUGUUUUCUCCUCUAUCUUUACCUUGCUUUCCUAGUUAGUUUAUUUUUAUUGUUAUUUAGGAUAUGCAGCUGCUUUCUUGGAUGUGGUGUGUUUACUCCUUGUAGGUACGGCAAUAAUUCUCCUUCGUGCGCAGUACAAUAGAAGAAUUCCCUCCAUCUUUCAACGCAUGGUUUCGAUUGCAUGAAAUCUAAAGCAUGGUCGCAAGUGUAUUCUACUCAAGGUCCUUUUCUUGUUAUCCUUUAAGCAUUAUCCUUUUGAAAUUCUCUUUGUCCGAUUGCUUUCCUUUGCGAUGCAUCUAUGAUGGUACGUGUAAUUCACUACAUCCGCCAACUAAGUAUCACAAAGCUCACUUUACUUUUAAAGCGUCUUCAAAAUUUGAUAGUCUAAGUUUUAUUAUGUGCAAACCUUUUCUCAAACAUUUGUUACUGCAUUUCUGUUGGUUUUGUUUUUAACUUUGCAGCGAGAGCGCUGCCAACCUCUAAGUUUGGGGGUGGCAGCGAUCCUGGAGAAAUGCGUUCACUACAUUGCGAUGCUAUAAAAAAAAAAAAAUCAGGAAUAACAACUGCACUGUCAACACAAUGGGGAAACCCAUGUUGAUAAGAGUUAAGUUGUGAAAGGAAUUACCCAUAGUUGGAUGUCUGCAUGACACACGUGGUGGCAAGCCAAAACCAAAGUAAGUUUCCAGGAUCAACGCAAGCGCAACUCUUCUGUCUGGCGCAAUCCAAAUUAAACCAAGACAAUAGUUGAGUUGAAUAUGGCAGGCAACCGAAGUUGGCUCUUUGCAUGACACAUAUGGGGGCAAGCCAAAACGAAGAGCAUAACCAGGUUUAAUGCCGAGUUCUGAUAAUAAAAUCGCAAAGCUUUAAGUUGUUUUAAACGAACAAAUUCUUAGAAGCUAAACGCAAAGUUGCAGGGAAUGAGUAAAAACUUUUUUAGCAAA